CUAACCACUGAGUCUGAGCUAAGGAAUGCAUUAUAUAAACACAGACACUAGUGACAGAGAAGACUAAGUAAUUAAUUUUACAAGGUCUCAUUGUAAGUUAGGGGGUGAAAUUGAGUUUAGAACUGUCAAUUUUAGAAAUUACGAUCAAAGUAGUUGCCACAAAGACUGAGACAAACGCUUUGAACUGACAGCAAAUUUAAGUUAUGGUAGUCAUUUUAGAUAAGCCAAAUGACGUCAAAAUCGUCAUCAGGAAAAGUUAACUCUUUUUUUAGUAAGGCGAGACUGCCCUCUAUGGACCAAAUACCUAAAUUGCGAUCGAUAGAUUGAACACACCUUCAGUCUCCUAUUGGCCUUAUCAACUAAUGACGUACAGAGAGUCUGGCCCUUUAAAAGUUAGGACAAAGGGAAGAGAGAGUUAGUUGUUGG